rnacentral:lncRNA from 1 species
AACAAUUUGUAAUAAACCAAUUAGGAUAAUCUAAAUUGCAGUUUUAAAAUUCUAUUGUUUAUCCCUGCAUGGCACAUCAAUGCUGUUGAUGGUAAAUGAUCUUGAGUGGCAUAUGCCAUCAAUAGCAUAUUACAGAUUAAGCAUGAUUUGGCAACACAGUCAGCAGAAAAAAUCAUGCUGAUGGUGUUUUGAGAUCACUGCUGUGAUCUCUUUAUGGAUAUUCAUCCAGAGGCAGCCACAUUAAUCUGGCAUCAUUUUAUAUAAUGUUAGAGCAGUUUCAACAAGAAAUUUGUUAGAAACACUCAGACUAACAUAUGGACAAUACAUGAUCCCAUGUGAUACAAAUAAUGACUAAUAAGAUUAAUUCUUAGGGAUGACAAUUUUUUGCAUACCUGCCAAACCAAACCCUUCCAGAUUUUUGUUUGAUAAUGCUUAUUCAAAGAGCAUUUGCUGAUAAACACUUUCAAAAUGUAAUGAAGUUAAGUCAGUUAUCUGACAAUGGCUCCAUAACCAACCAGACAGUUUUUCUAAUGGGAAUGAAAAACUUUUAUCAUGUGAAUCAUCAUGAUCACCAUAAAUGCAUCAAUGUCACUAUAAUAUGCAUAUUGAAAUAUUUAUAUUGUAAGAAUAGUGUAAGUGAAAUAAAUUUACUAACUUCCUCUUUGAUUCUACCUUGUAUAAAAUAUAAAAUAGACUUUGUAACUUAAAAUUGAAUACUU